rnacentral:rRNA from 1 species
UACGGGGGGAGCAAGCGUUGUUCGGAUUUACUGGGCGUAAAGGGCGCGUAGGCGGCGUGACAAGUCACUUGUGAAAUCUCCGGGCUUAACUCGGAACGGUCAAGUGAUACUGUCGUGCUAGAGUACAGAAGGGGCAACUGGAAUUCUCGGUGUAGCGGUGAAAUGCGUAGAUAUCGAGAGGAACACCUGCGGCGAAGGCGGGUUGCUGGGCUGAUACUGACGCUGAGGCGCGGAAGCUAGGGGAGCGAACGGG